rnacentral:rRNA from 1 species
CGAAAGCCUGACGGAGCAAUACCGCGUGAGGGAGGAAGGCUCUUGGGUCGUAAACCUCUUUUCUCAGGGAAGAACACAAUGACGGUACCUGAGGAAUAAGCAUCGGCUAACUCCGUGCCAGCAGCCGCGGUAAUACGGAGGAUGCAAGCGUUAUCCGGAAUGAUUGGGCGUAAAGCGUCCGCAGGUGGCUGUGUAAGUCUGCUGUUAAAGAGUCUAGCUCAACUAGAUAAGAGCAGUGGAAACUACAAGGCUAGAGUACGUUCGGGGCAGAGGGAAUUCCUGGUGUAGCGGUGAAAUGCGUAGAGAUCAGGAAGAACACCGGUGGCGAAGGCGCUCUGCUAGGCCGUAACUGACACUGAGGGACGAAAGCUAGGGGAGCG